rnacentral:rRNA from 1 species
CAGGCCUAACACAUGCAAGUUCGAACGAGAAAGUGGAGCAAUCCAUGAGUAAAGUGGCGACCGGGUGAGUAACACGUGACUAACCUACCUUCGAGUGGGGGAUAACCUAGGGAAACCUGGGCUAAUACCGCAUAACAUCUUUGGAUCGGAAGAACUGGAGAUCAAAGGAGCAAUUCGCUUGAAGAGGGGGUCGCGGCUGAUUAGCUAGUUGGCGGGGUAAUGGCCCACCAAGGCGAAGAUCGGUAGCCGGCCUGAGAGGGCGCACGGCCACACUGGAACUGAAACACGGUCCAGACUCCUACGGGAGGCAGCAGUGGGGAAUUUUGCGCAAUGAGGGAAACCCUGACGCAGCAACGCCGCGUGGAGGAUGAAGUCCCUUGGGACGUAAACUCCUUUCGACCCGGACGAUAAUGACGGUACGGGUGGAAGAAGCCCCGGCUAACUUCGUGCCAGCAGCCGCGGUAAUACA